rnacentral:misc_RNA from 1 species
UGAAGCCCUGAGGUGCCGUGUC